rnacentral:lncRNA from 1 species
UACAAUGAAAUGAGCUGUAGGGGUAGUGAGAAAUCCAUAUAGAGGCCUAUAAGCAGGAGCUGGAAGGCUACUUACUGGGAUGUUUUACAUGAGAACUUAACUCCACUAUAUGAGCUGAAUGAAAUGACCCAACAGACUCCGAAAAUCUCAAAGACCUGGCUCUCAGUCCACUGAGACACCCAGCUGCUCCCUCAAUGGAUGUUUUGAACUCACAAGACAUGUGAAUUUGCCUUCAAACUUGGAAAUAUCCAUUCAGAGGUUGAUAUUCCAUCACCUACUUGGAAAAGGACUCCUAAAGCAGAAAGGGCUGAUUCAGAAGGAAUUUAGGAA